rnacentral:rRNA from 1 species
CCUACGGGAGGCAGCAGGAAGGGAUAUUGGUCAAUGGGGGAAACCCUGAACCAGCAACGCCGCGUGAGGGAAGACGGUUGUCGGAGUGGAAACCUCUGUCCUCGGGGAAGAGGAUGACGGUAGCAGAGGAGGAAGCUCCGGCUAACUACGUGCCAGCAGCCGCGGUAAUACGUAGGGAGCGAGCGUUGUCCGGAUUUACUGGGUGUAAAGGGUGCGUAGGCGGCUUGGCAAGUCAGUAGUGAAAUCCAUGGGCUUAACCCAUGAACUGCUAUUGAAACUGCAGAGCUUGAGUGGAGUAGAGGUAGGCGGAAUUCCCGGUGUAGCGGUGAAAUGCGUAGAGAUCGGGAGGAACACCAGUGGCGAAGGCGGCCUGCUGGGCUCUAACUGACGCUGAGGCACGAAAGCGUGGGUAGCAAACAGGAUUAGAUACCCUUGUAGUC